rnacentral:rRNA from 1 species
CCUACGGGAGGCAGCAGUGAGGAAUAUUGGUCAAUGGACGCAAGUCUGAACCAGCCAUGCCGCGUGCAGGAUGACGGCUCUAUGAGUUGUAAACUGCUUUUGUACGAGGGUAAACCCCGAUACGUGUAUCGGGUUGAAAGUAUCGUACGAAUAAGGAUCGGCUAACUCCGUGCCAGCAGCCGCGGUAAUACGGAGGAUCCGAGCGUUAUCCGGAUUUAUUGGGUUUAAAGGGUGCGUAGGCGGUUUGAUAAGUUAGAGGUGAAAUGUCGGGGCUCAACCGCGAAACUGCCUCUAAUACUGGUAGACUAGAGAAUAGUUGCGGUAGGCGGAAUGUAUGGUGUAGCGGUGAAAUGCUUAGAGAUCAUACAGAACACCGAUUGCGAAGGCAGCUUACCAAACUAUAUCUGACGUUGAGGCACGAAAGCGUGGGUAGCAAACAGGAUUAGAUACCCGUGUAGUC